rnacentral:rRNA from 1 species
GAUGAACGCUGGCGGCGUGCCUAAUACAUGCAAGUCGAGCGAACAGACGAGGAGCUUGCUCCUCUGACGUUAGCGGCGGACGGGUGAGUAACACGUGGAUAACCUACCUAUAAGACUGGGAUAACUUCGGGAAACCGGAGCUACUACCGGAUAAUAUAUUGAACCGCAUGGUUCAAUAGUGAAUGACGGUUUUGCUGUCACUUAUAGAUGGAUCCGCGCCGCAUUAGCUAGUUGGUAAGGUAACGGCUUACCAAGGCAACGAUGCGUAGCCGACCUGAGAGGGUGAUCGGCCACACUGGAACUGAGACACGGUCCAGACUCCUACGGGAGGCAGCAGUAGGGAAUCUUCCGCAAUGGGCGAAAGCCUGACGGAGCAACGCCGCGUGAGUGAUGAAGGUCUUCGGAUCGUAAAACUCUGUUAUUAGGGAAGAACAAAUGUGUAAGUAACUAUGCACGUCUUGACGGUACCUAAUCAGAAAGCCACGGCUAACUACGUG